CUACGGGUCGCUGCAGUCGAGAAUAGUCUACAAUGGACGAAAGUCUGAUAGUGCAACGCCGCGUGGGUGAUGAAGCAUUUCGGUGUGUAAAACCCUUUUCUUUGUGAGCAAUGCCAUUAUGGUUAAUAGCUAUAGUGGAGCGAUAUUAGCAGAGGAAUAAGCCACGGCUAACUCCGUGCCAGCAGCCGCGGUAACACGGGGGUGGCGAGCGUUGUCCGGAAUCACUAGGCGUAAAGGGCAGGUAGGCGGAAUAUCUAGUCAUUUGUUAAAGGCAUUGGCUCAACCAAUGUACGGCAUAUGAUACUGGUAUUCUAGAAUUUGGUAUGGGAAGACGGAAUUCCUGGUGUAGCGGUGGAAUGCGCAGAUAUCAGGAAGAACACCGGAGGCGAAGGCGGUCUUCUGGGCCAAAAUUGACGCUCAACUGCGAAGGUGUGGGUAUCAAACAGGAUUAGAUACCCUAGUAGUC
rnacentral:rRNA from 1 species